CGCAGGCUCUGGGGCGGCCGGGCUCCGGCGGAGGCCCGAGCACCCGGGGGCGGGGCUGGGGGCGGGGCC
rnacentral:miRNA from 1 species